rnacentral:rRNA from 1 species
GAUGAACGCUGGCGGCGUGCCUAAUACAUGCAAGUCGAGCGAACAGACGAGGAGCUUGCUCCUCUGACGUUAGCGGCGGACGGGUGAGUAACACGUGGAUAACCUACCUAUAAGACUGGGAUAACUUCGGGAAACCGGAGCUAAUACCGGAUAAUAUAUUGAACCGCAUGGUUCAAUAGUGAAAGACGGUUUUGCUGUCACUUAUAGAUGGACCCGCGCCGCAUUAGCUAGUUGGUAAGGUAACGGCUUACCAAGGCAACGAUGCGUAGCCGACCUGAGAGGGUGAUCGGCCACACUGGAACUGAGACACGGUCCAGACUCCUGCGGGAGGCAGCAGUAGGGAAUCUUCCGCAAUGGGCGAAAGCGUGACGGAGCAACGCCGCGUGAGUGAUGAAGGUCUUCGGAUCGUAAAACUCUGUUAUUAGGGAAGAACAAAUGUGUAAGUAACUAUGCACGUCUUGACGGUACCUAAUCAGAAAGCCACGGCUAACUACGUG